AUCCUGGCGGGGUGGUUUGCAACGGCUAGAGGGGAGACUUUAAACUCGAACGGUUGUGGGGAGGGACUCAGAUAGAGAAAGCUAGUAGACAGUGUGUGAGGCAGAGAGGCAGAGAAGGGAAGCACUCAGAAUCAACAUGUAGGGGGGGGGGGAGAAGAAAAUAUGAUAUACAGAGAAUAAGAGGUGGUGGGUAUCUUAAAUGUUUGAGCAGAGAGAAGAGGGGUGUAAAACUAGGGUAGAAGCAAUAGGUAGCAAGGUGAAAAGUAAAAGUGGCAGGCAGACAAAUCCAGGGCAAAAAUCAAAAAGAGC